rnacentral:misc_RNA from 1 species
ACUAAUAUCCCCUCAAACGUGCAAAGGCAGUAACUUUUUGGAUAAACUACUCUAACCUGAGUGACUUUGGUAGACAAUUUGCUAUUGGCAACUGGUAACAUAACACACACUGAUAUAAAUGGCAAAUAUAGUAGUACCCUGCUGUUUAUUUUUUGUACAAGCUUCUGGUGCUCAAAGUCACUGACUACUCUGGGGUUUCAUACCAAAGGAUAGGGGUUCCAUUCCGAAAUAUCGAACCUGAGACCUCUUCUUGAGAGUAGAGAAGCCUUAACCAUUCCACCACGUCGUGUGGUGAUAGUAACCUUUCUUUCGUUAAAUAAGUAACCUUAUUUACAUACACUCCACACUCAUAAUAUAUGUCUAGAGAAUGAAUGAACAAAUCAGAAGUUUGAGGUUUAGGUUGUGAGAAUAGGAGGAAGAAAAUUGGAUUUGGUACCAAGAAUAGGUGCUUUGGUGUCAGGAAAGCAUUCUACUCCAGGUAUUUCAGUGACCUCUCCAUUUUCAGUAAUACCAAUAGGGUAAGUAAGAAGGUGUCCAGGCAAAUCAUGAACAAGGCUCUCACUUGAAUACAUAUCCCAAUAUUUAUCACCAAUUUUGUUCACCUUUCGGAUGCAUUCUACGCUCUCUGGUUGAAGGAAACUGUUGUCUAACAUGCCUAAGUGCUCGUACCACAGUGCCAUUCGGAACCCAUGAACCUGACCCCUCGCUGGCUCCUUUGCAUAUAGAUGAAAUGGUUGGUAGGCUCCCAUUGCUAUUUCUGAAUCUCUUGCACCAUCCAUUGACCUUUGAUUGAUGUUAGCUGAUCCAAUGAUAAUGUAUUCAUCAUCCACUAUCAUCAUUUUUGCAUGAACGUAAAUCAUGAAACGUCUGGCUUCUUGAGCUUUUUGAUAGUCUGAAUCCGGUUCUGGUGAUUCAGAAGGCUCAUAUUCUCCUGUCUUCUUUGUUUCUCUAUUGCCAAGGCAAAAGAAACUCAAGUAGUCUUUAGGAUUUGCCACAAUUCCUUUCGCUUUAAGAGCUUGAAUUAUAUCGGUGUACAUCAUUUUCAUGGUUCUCCUUUGCCAAUCCAGUAUUGCUUGUACAGAUGCACUCUCAGGAAGACCUUCUGGCCACAUUGGAACCACAACAUAGACCGUAAACCUUUCCCCUGCUUCAAUCUUGCUAACUAUCUUCAGAGACAACUCCUUUGGGAUCAAAUGUAGAGCAUUAAUUUCUUCAUCCUUGAUAUCAUCUGAGUACCAUGAAAAGGAGCUUCCUAAGAAGUAUUGGUUUUCAAUAUAAAUGAAAUGAUUUGCUCGACGAAUGGCAUUAAUAUAUCCAUCUUGUAUGCUUCGAUCAAUGAUGUUGUCCUUGCCACUUAUAAGACCAGACUUGGCUGCCUCCUCAGGAGCAUCGGGGAAGCCAAAAGCUGCUCCCCCAUCAAUGGAUCGAAAAACUUGAACAUUCCAUGUGUCAUGAUCAUCAGGGUACAUAGCAGGUGAAGGUGGUAUAAUUAUACUCUCGAUAUCCCUUAGGUUCAUAAGCAAGUCCUUUCCACCUUGCUUCCUCCACCUCUGUUCAAAAUUGAAGAGCACAUCCCAAGCUGCUGGCCCUUCUAUUCGGCAAUGGAUAUCGUGCCAAGGCUCUCUUGGUCCACCUUUUUGAAUUGAAGCACCAGUGAAAUUUGGUUGGUGAAAAUCAUCAUGAUGUGCUGUGUCCAAAGUCCUGAAAAGGGAGUGAAAUUGUGUAUCAUAUCUACCAUCACAAAGAUCAAUCCCACCAAUAUAACUCACAAUUCUCCGCCUCUCCGUGUCUCCAUUAGGCAAUUCUCCAUCAACAACUACAAUCUUUUGAUGAUGAGUAAACAUUGUUCCAAUCUCUAUAUUUUGAAUAAUGCUUCUUCCAUCAUCAGGAUUUCGAGGACACAACACACAAUGUACUUCCGAGUUUUCAAAAUAAGCAGCAGUUUCUUGAUCAUGAGUAGCCAUUAGCCCAUCUUCUUUCAACACAGGAACUGAUGUUCUGUCAUCCCAGACUAGCAUUAGAACUCUCACACCUUCAUUAGCUUUCUUCUUAAGCAACUCCCCGAGCGUUAUGUCUCCACCAGGCUUAGGCCUCCUCAUGUCCCUUAUCAAAGUAAUCUCCGUAUAAACAGACCAUCCAGUUAUGUAAAUCAAAUGCUUUGCAUUAGUGAUUGCAUCGAAAAUAUCUUCCCAACAUCUUUGUGGCUCAUAAAAGUUGCCACCAGCAAGAGGAAUUUUUGGGACAAAGUUAUCAGGAACAUGAGAAUCUUGGUAAAGGGUGAUCUUGCAACCUUGUCUUUGACUAAAGAAUGUGUAAGGAACUCCAGGAAAUCUUGUAACUCUUAUCCCUCUAUUCCAAUUAUACUCCCUUGUGACAUCAAAAUACUGCAACUUCACAUGAAUUUUAGAGUGUCCAUGCACUGGUUUUCGUUCUGUAUCGAGGAUUUCAAGCCAUUCAUCAACAACUUCUCCAACUAUCAAUUGUUCAACUGGUAAGUAAGCUCUUCCAAUGAGUUCUGCUCCAAUUGGAUUAUCAGCUUUGACAGUGAAUACGACAUCAGAAGCCAUAUGAGCACAGUAAAUGUGGAAUGACUCAUACCAUCGCGGAUUUUUGUGUUCAUCGAGCAAUCUGGUUCUGCCAACUCUGGCUUUUCCAAGAUCAAUGGUUGCAUACAGUGUUGAUGCUGUCUUGUUGAAGCCAAUAGCUCCUUCAAUGCCUUGAACCACCUACAACAAAAUGGAACUUAUUGAAAAUUUCUCUUCCAAAAUUAGUACGAAGCUUAUCAACCUCAAAUAUAGUAACAUGAAGUGUGCCAUGUAGCAAAAUUUGUGCCAUCUUCCUUCCCUCCAAUUAAUCCACUUCACUUAGUUUAUAACUUGAGCUGAUAAAGAAAAUCUUUAGAUAAGAAUAAGAUGAGAGGAGAUCAAUAGAAGCCUCACGUAUAUUUUUACAUAUAUGUAGUGAGAGGGAUAUCUUUUAGAAUGAACUAACUAAAUGCAAAGGCGAAAUAAAAAAUUUAACAUAAAGUGUGGUUUUUUUU